UUGAUCGAGGGUUUAUCGCAUUAGUGAAAAUAGGUUGUGAAAUGGUUUGAAAUGAUAUGAGGUUCUUAUUAAAGCAAAAAGUUUAGUGGAAUUUUGAAAAAUAUACUUGAUGUUGAUCAAAUACCUUUUAUCUUAGUAUUUUUGAAAGGUUAAUUUUAAUGGUCAUUUUGUCUUUUUGGAUUAUUAAUUAUGCAUCAACUAAAAAUACAAUAAAAUAAACUAAAAAAUAAAGCAAUAAAAGGUAAAAGAAAUAAUAAAGGGGAGGGGGAACACUAUCAAUGCAAGAGGUAAAAGAAUUAAAAAAACUAAAGGAAAUAAAAGAAAGAACAAAAAAAAACAAAACAAUAAGAAAAUAAGAAAUAAAAAAAUAUAUACAAAAGAAAAAAAUAGGCUAAAAAUUGGGGGUGUAGCCUACCUCAUACGCUCUAAGUUUUUUUCUGGCAUAUUCUCUCUGAAUUUUCAUAUGUUUUUAAAUUUUUUAUCUGAUACAGUGUAAAUAUAAUCACCACCAGCAUCC
rnacentral:lncRNA from 1 species